rnacentral:rRNA from 1 species
AGGGUGCAAGCGUUAAUCGGAAUUACUGGGCGUAAAGCGCACGCAGGCGGUUUGUUAAGUCAGAUGUGAAAUCCCCGGGCUCAACCUGGGAACUGCAUCUGAUACUGGCAAGCUUGAGUCUCGUAGAGGGGGGUAGAAUUCCAGGUGUAGCGGUGAAAUGCGUAGAGAUCUGGAGGAAUACCGGUGGCGAAGGCGGCCCCCUGGACGAAGACUGACGCUCAGGUGCGAAAGCGUGGGGAGCAAACAGGAUUAGAUACCCUGGUAGUCCACGCCGUAAACGAUGUCGACUUGGAGGUUGUGCCCUUGAGGCGUGGCUUCCGGAGCUAACGCGUUAAGUCGACCGCCUGGGGAGUACGGCCGCAAGGUUAAAACUCAAAUGAAUUGACGGGGGCCCGCACAAGCGGUGGAGCAUGUGGUUUAAUUCGAUGCAACGCGAAGAACCUUACCUGGUCUUGACAUCCACGGAAGUUUUCAGAGAUGAGAAUGUGCCUUCGGGAACCGUGAGACAGGUGCUGCAUGGCUGUCGUCAGCUCGUGUUGUGAAAUGUUGGGUUAAGUCCCGCAACGAGCGCAACCCUUAUCCUUUGUUGCCAGCGGUCCGGCCGGGAACUCAAAGGAGACUGCCAGUGAUAAACUGGAGGAAGGUGGGGAUGACGUCAAGUCAUCAUGGCCCUUACGACCAGGGCUACACACGUGCUACAAUGGCGCAUACAAAGAGAAGCGAUCUCGCGAGAGCAAGCGGACCUCAUAAAGUGCGUCGUAGUCCGGAUUGGAGUCUGCAACUCGACUCCAUGAAGUCGGAAUCGCUAGUAAUCGUGGAUCAGAAUGCCACGGUGAAUACGUUCCCGGGCCUUGUACACACCGCCCGUCACACCAUGGGAGUGGGUUGCAAAAGAAGUAGGUAGCUUAACCUUCGGGAGGGCGCUUACCACUUUGUGAUUCAUGACUGGGGUGAAGUCGUAACAAGGUAACCGUAGGGGAACCUGCGGUUG